rnacentral:tRNA from 1 species
UCCUUGGUAGUUCAGAUGGUAAAGCGUCUGCCUACAAUGCAGGAGACCCAGGUUCGAUCCCUGGGUCAGGAA